CCUACGUGAGGCAGCAGUGGUGAAUCUUGCGCAAUGGGCGAAAGCCUGACGCAGCGACGCCGCGUGAGGGAUGAAGGUCUUCGGAUCGUAAACCUCUGUCAGCAGGGAAGAACGGUCACUGUGCUAAUCAGCAGUGAAUUGACGGUACCUGCAAAGGAAGCACCGGCUAACUCCGUGCCAGCAGCCGCGGUAAUACGGAGGGUGCGAGCGUUAAUCGGAAUUACUGGGCGUAAAGAGCUCGUAGGCGGUAUGUCAAGUCAAGGGUGAAAUCCCCGCGCUCAACGUGGGAACUGCCUUUGAAACUGGCAAACUGGAGUGUGUGAGAGGAUAGUGGAAGUCCAGGUGUAGGAGUGAAAUCCGUAGAUAUCUGGAGGAACAUCAGUGGCGAAGGCGACUAUCUGGCACAUAACUGACGCUGAGGAGCGAAAGCGUGGGUAGCAAACAGGAUUAGAUACCCCAGUAGUC
rnacentral:rRNA from 1 species